rnacentral:rRNA from 1 species
CAGGGAAUCUUGCACAAUGGGCGAAAGCCUGAUGCAGCGACGCCGCGUGGGGGAUGAAGACCUUAGGGUCGUAAACCCCUUUCAGCAGGGACGAAAAUGACGGUACCUGCAGAAGAAGCCCCGGCCAACUACGUGCCAGCAGCCGCGGUAAGACGUAGGGGGCGAGCGUUGUCCGGAUUUAUUGGGCGUAAAGAGCUCGUAGGCGGUUGCGUAAGUCGGAUGUGAAAACUCAGGGCUCAACCCUGAGACGCCAUCCGAUACUGCGCUGACUUGAAUCCAGUAGGGGAGUGUGGAAUUCCUGGUGUAGCGGUGAAAUGCGCAGAUAUCAGGAGGAACACCCAUGGCGAAGGCAGCACUCUGGGCUGGUAUUGACGCUGAGGAGCGAAAGCAUGGGUAGCGAACAGGAUUAGAUACCCCUGUAGUCCCUGAGCGGGCUGGCAAGGCGCAU